CCUCCGUAGGUGAACCUGCGGAAGGAUCAUUAUUGUAUAACCGAGGUGCGAGGGCUGUCGCUGACCCGAAAGGUCGUGCACGCCCGAGUGCCCUCACACACAUCCAUCUCACCCCUAUGUGCACCACCGCGUGGGUCCCCCUUUGGCUUGUUCGGAGGGGGGCUUACGUUUUCACACAAACUUUGUAUGCAGUGUAGAAUGUAUUUUUUGUUUUUGCGAUCACGCAAUCAAUACAACUUUCAACAACGGAUCUCUUGGCUCUC
rnacentral:misc_RNA from 1 species